rnacentral:tRNA from 1 species
GGUUCAACGGCGGACGAACGCUCAGGCUCGUCGAGCCUAGAAAAUGUCAGUCCUAAGGAGUGAGUCGGGAGUUCGAAUCUCUCCGGGGCCGCCA